CCUCCUCCUCCUCCUCCUCCUCUGGGCGGGCUCGGCUGGAGCAGCUGCCACCAAUCAUCACACCUGCAGUAUAUAUACCCCGGUUUUCCUGCUACUUGUCGCCAGAUCGUUCCGUCACCCACAGUGGUCUGUUCUCCUGCCAAGCUGUGGCUGCUUCCAAACCUGCCUGCUCACUCCUGCUCUCGGAUCUUACUCAACCUGGAACCCUGUAGUUAAAAUAAAUUAUUCUUUUUGUUCAUACUUUAAAA